rnacentral:lncRNA from 1 species
UCUUGAACUUUUUGAAAUAUCAUUUGCAACACUUGCUGUUCAUUAUAAUCAACACUAGAAGUAAAAACAGUAAUACUGCUUCCUGAAUUUGAUUCACUUCCAGGGAUUCUGAUUUAAUUGGUCUUAGGUGGGAAUCAGGCAUUUGCAUUUUUAAAGAAUAGUUUCUCCCUCACUGCCUAUUGUGUGUGAGGCUUGAAAAGUGCUGUACUUCAUACUACUUUGUUAUUUAAAACUGCAUGUUUUCUUGAUAUAAGUGAUCUCCUCUCCUUGUAUGUGUCAACAUUAUUAACUACAGUAUCUAUAAACAUCUCAAAUGUUAAAUUGAGAGCAAGCCAAAUACUAGGAUAUUUAAAAACCUUGUCUUGACGUCAAGCAUGGAAGAUCAAAUACACUAACUUUGUGGUUGCCAGUAAGCAUUCCCAGUGUUUGUCUAACUCCAAAAAAAAUUAUUAUAUUUGUUUUUUGGCAUCUAAAAACAGUCAGUUCCACAAACCACGUUUGCUUUUGAUCAAAGGCAAUUCUAGGUCACUGGCUGAAUGGGAUGGGUCCAGCUAGUAUUCCUAAUCAGACGGUGUCAUCCGCUCUGAAGAAGGUAGACAAAAAAUUAAGUUGUGUUUGGUGAGUUAAUAUGACUGAAUUCAAUCAGAUACCUGGCCCUGUUAGACUUUUAUUCUUCUAGUCCGCUUUAGCAUGAAGACUCUUAAGAAAGAGCAUGGGAUAUGUAAAAGCAACCUAAGAAUUGAGGAAAGGUGAACAGAUGAGGUCACUUUGCCUUCCGUAAAAUGCAAAUGGCAAGAGAUGAGACUUUACCUGCAGGUGAAGUUCUGGGAACACUGGGAUAUAAAGUGGUAUGACACAUUGAACACUGGGAUAUAAAGUGGUAUGACACAUUGAGCUAGAUUUAGCUGGAUUUGGUUUUCCUUUGGUGUAACAUGGGCAUGUUCGUUGAUACAGUUUGGCUCUGUGUCCCCACCCAAAUCUCAUCAAGAUUAUAAUCCCCAUGUACUGAGAGAGGAACCUGGUGGAUGGAGAUUGGAUCAUGGGAGCUAUUUCCUCCAUGCUGUUCUCCUGAUGGGAAACCCAGGAGAAGAGGUAAUGCAUUCUGUCUGAAACCAACAGAAAAGAUUUAGACGGUAGGUAUGCAGUUUGAACUGAAUUCUAAGACAGCAUGGUAUAAAUUUUAGUGUCAAACAUGAAUGUCUGCCAUUUGUUUAAUAAAAUCAGUUUGGGGAAAUUACUUUGCUCAGGGUAAACACUCUGGAUCAUACUGC